GGAAUGUUCCGUAAUAAAGGCAGCACUUGAAAGUAUUUCGGUUGUUCGACAACACACUAUGCUUGGAAACAAUACUUUUUGUUUAUAUUGUGGUAUUCGCUAUGCUGAACCGCCAAUUGGUCAACUUCGAUUGAAAGCACCAAUGAAAAAGGAACUAUGGAAUGGAGCGUAUGAUGCAUCGGACUAUGAAGCAGCAUGUGUACAACCAUACUAUUCUAACCUCACCGUGUCAGAAGACUCUUCCUCAAUGUGUUUGUAACGAGCACAUCGAUAUGCAGUAGUUCAAGUGAUAUUGCCGUAAUUAUUUACAUUCAUGGUGGAGGUUUUAUCAGCGAAACGGCCAAUGCAUAUGGUCCUCAUUUGAUGUUGAAUAAGUGUGUGAUCCCCGUUACAUUGAACUAUCGACUUGGUAUUUUUGUUUUUUUGUUUUUUGCCAUUGGCCUCAGGUAAUAUCGGAUUUAACAAAUCACAUUAAUGGGUGAAAGUUCCGGUGGUGCUUCGGUUAGUUUUCAAAAAUUGAAUGCAAAGUCAAGAAAUUUAUUUAAACAAGCAUAUUAUAUCACCAUAUAACAACAAAACCGAUUUUAUAGUGAAUUUAGCCAAAAAUGAAGGUGAAGAGAUACAUAACACCAAACAAUUAAUUGAAUAUAUCUUAACACAAUGUUAAUCACACAAGCCCAAAAGAAAUAAAUCCUCUUGAUACAUCAUUGCUAACAUUUAGACUAGAUAAACAACCGUGCAUCGAACGUAAGUUUAUGGAAUUUAUUCUGAAUUCAUCAUAAAAUUCCAGUUGAAUCUGCAAAAAAUCCAUUUAUGACCGAAUCACCUCAAGUGCUAUUGGCAAAGGGUAUUGAUAUUCCCACUAUUUACACACAUACUGCUAUGAAAUCAAUUUUAGAUGUUAUACUCAACCAAAAGAAAAUGAACAAUUUCAAUGAAAAUUUUACAUUCGUAUUACCAUUCCAUAACAUUGAUCAAGUCGCAUGUCAAGAAGAGAUGGCCCCACUUUUUACUGAUAUUCGGCGAUUUUAUUUUGGCACAGCUCCAAUA